AGAUGAUGCUCAGAAAGUCUAAAGGAUUGCAUUAAAUUAAAUUAAUUAAUGAAAUUAAAGGACCACGAAAAUUGUGACCGAGGUAGAGUUGUGACCCCAGACCUUGAUGACUUCAAGUCCAGUGUUCCACUCACCAUAUCAUGCUGUUUCUCCUUUUAAUUUAGAGGCAACUCAUGAAAUCAUCUACUAAUGUGUGGAAAGAGCAAAUCAAAUCCACCCCAGGGAUAUCACAGAUCCUUGAAAAUGAAAUUGUUAUGUGCCCUUAAGGAUGUAUAUUAGGGUCAUGGAGAGAGAGUCAGAAAAAUCUGUGGUCAAAUCCUGUCUUUGAUGCUAGCUGUGACUAAGGAAGUCUCUUCACCAAUUUGUGGCUCAAGCAUCUCCCCAGGAUAAGACAAUGUGAGAUUCUGGAGAGAACAUCUGGAAGAUCUUACUAUCUAUAGGGAAAUUCUUCUUAUACGCUGUGUUUAAUCUCCUCCAGGACAAGAGAUGAACAUCUUUACUGGGAUCUAUCCCACUGUUUAAUGCUUAGAUUGAUAAUGGUCAUCAGGGCCCUUGAAUAAAGUUCUCUUCAUAGAUUCAUGAUUUAAGUAAUUGUGUAUAUUUUUGAUAUCUGCUUGUGAGACAUCUUGUUGGAGGAGAUCCUUUAAGAUAGUAGUUUGUUCUAUCAAAGAAAGUGCUUUUUAUUUAGUAAAUAGAAUACAAACACAAUCGCCUCUUCUGUGUUAAUCUCUGACUUAAUUUUAUGAUUAUAAACAUGCAGCAACUGGCCCAUAAUGGACACUUAAUAAAUCCUUGUUGAUUAUCACUGGUAGAAGACUGGCUAUUCCUUUCUAAUCCUUUUAGUGUAACGGUAGAUCAUUCUCAAAAAUUUUUGCCCACUUGGGAAGGUGCCAGUUUGGACAAUACUAACGUCCAAAUGUUUUUUCCUCUUUGGAAUUUUCCUUCCUUUCCCCUAACUUAAAAAUGGAUCUAUCACUGCCUUCGGAAUUGUUUCAUGGAUCUCUUUUGGAGGUAGUGUUUAGCAUUUUCUCAUCUCUGUUUAUUUCAGUGCCAUUUUCAUUUCUUCCAGCACACAUGUAGGGCCUUAAUGUCCAGGUUGAAAUGUGAUUUGCCUCAUUGUUCUUGAUGGUGGAAAUACUUCAACGGAAUCUUUAUAGACCUUUUCUGCAUCGUGUCCAUUUGUUGUUCUUUAAGUUUGGUGCUUAAAUACUCUUGGGAUGACUUCAUUUAAUUGGAUCUCUAGUCAAGCUUUCUUUAAAGUUGCUUUCCUCCUAUUUCUUUCUGUUUUAUGAGGUGAUGCUUCUCACAAUAUUCCAUCAUCCUUUUCCAUAAUAUCUUACAAACAAUUGUAUAUGCUUCUCUUCUUGGCACGGAGAUCAAGUGUUUUCUGGCUGAGGCAGGUUUUUGUUUCUUUUAGUUUCCUCAUUAUGAUAAUUUAUUAUAGUAGUUAAACUUCUGUAUGAAAUUGUUAUGAGUAGUGUCAAUGUCCCUAUAUAUUAUUUGUAUUUUUAAAGUUUUAUUUAUGGUUCACUAGCAGUAACUUUCCAAUAAUGCCCACAGGAGAUAUCUCCUUGUAACAAACGGAAAUCACUUAAUCAGACCCAAUUGAUACAGCCAUUGUUUUGAGCAGCUUUAUGUAUCACUCUGCAACUGUAUUCCACUGCCUUUCUACCAAGAGGAUAGGACUACUAUUUUGUUUUUAAAUAGAGUUUUUCUUUAUCAGCUCCACACAAUUCAUAAAAGGUGGAAAAUCUAUUUUGUAAUUGUUAGGCUUAUCAGAAUGUUUAGUCAUAAUAAAGAAAAU